rnacentral:rRNA from 1 species
AGUGGCGGACGGGUGAGUAAUAUAUCGGAACGUGCCCAGUAGCGGGGGAUAACUACUCGAAAGAGUGGCUAAUACCGCAUACGCCCUACGGGGGAAAGGGGGGGAUCGCAAGACCUCUCACUAUUGGAGCGGCCGAUAUCGGAUUAGCUAGUUGGUGGGGUAAAGGCUCACCAAGGCAACGAUCCGUAGCUGGUUUGAGAGGACGACCAGCCACACUGGGACUGAGACACGGCCCAGACUCCUACGGGAGGCAGCAGUGGGGAAUUUUGGACAAUGGGGGAAACCCUGAUCCAGCCAUCCCGCGUGUAUGAUGAAGGCCUUCGGGUUGUAAAGUACUUUUGGCAGAGAAGAAAAGGCAUCCCCUAAUACGGGAUGCUGCUGACGGUAUCUGCAGAAUAAGCACCGGCUAACUACGUGCCAGCAGCCGCGGUAAUACGUAGGGUGCAAGCGUUAAUCGGAAUUACUGGGCGUAAAGCGUGUGUAGGCGGUUCGGAAAGAAAGAUGUGAAAUCCCAGGGCUCAACCUUGGAACUGCAUUUUUAACUGCCGAGCUAGAGUAUGUCAGAGGGGGGUAGAAUUCCACGUGUAGCAGUGAAAUGCGUAGAUAUGUGGAGGAAUACCGAUGGCGAAGGCAGCCCCCUGGGAUAAUACUGACGCUCAGACACGAAAGCGUGGGGAGCAAACGGGAUUAGAUACCCUGGUAGUCCACGCCCUAAACGAUGUCAACUAGCUGUUGGGGCCGUUAGGCCUUAGUAGCGCAGCUAACGCGUGAA